GCAUGCAUUUGCAGUAGGUGUAUAAUUAAGAGGAUGUAAUUAAGGAUUAUUGCUGGAUGUAUUUACAUUAGGGAUGUAAUUAGGAAGAAAGAAGAGUCAGUGCAAUAGCCAAGGCAUGGAUGCCAAAAUGUGCUUGGAAACUCAGAAACUGAAAUGUAUUUCUUUGUAGGAGGAACUUCCGUGGUCAUCCCAGUCAUGUGAUGUAAGGGCAAUGACAGCAAUGGUAUAAGGAAGAGUCUGGAAGCCACCAUGCCCAGAACCAUCAGCCUCAAGCAAAUCAUCUUCCCUUGUCCUCCUGCUCUCAUCUUACCCUUCAGACAAAAUCCAUGGAGCUAUAAACCGAGAAAAGAUUGAUGAAUAUUAAGUAGAAGAGUGAGAGGGUCAUCUUUGCAUUUAAAAAAGAUCACUUGCUGUUGCUGUAUGGAAAAUGAAUUGGAGCAGGGUAAGAUUGGAGCUGGUUCUUGCUAAUGUUUGUGUGAAGAUGGAAAAUAACUAGGGAAAUAAUUUGCUAAGAAGAAGAAAUAAAGGACCUUCCAAAAUUUAAUAAUUAUUACAUAGAAUUGGUAAUGUACUCCUCAUUACUAUACUCACCCCAUAAUUAUUACUAUGCUCAACCCAUAAUCUCACCUGAGUGGUACAAAGGGUACUAAGGGUCUAUACUCAUACAAUAUCACAACUAGAAAUUUUCCCAUGCAGCCACUUGCAUGCCUCUUGAGCUCUUCUCUUUUGCCUCUGCAAGUAACUUUUUCUAGAGAAAGCCCUCCUCUCUUUAAUUAUCUGUUGAAAUCUUAACCAUCUUUCAAGUCCCAAUUUAAGUGUUCCCUCCUCCAAAAAGGUUGACUUUUGCUAACCAAAUAUUUUCUCUUUCUUUACUUUAGCUCUAUUGCACUUAAUUUUAAAUGUUUCUUAUGCCAUUUUUCUGUUGAGUGCAGGCCUAAAUUUACUUGUGUAAUGCACCAUUCCAGAUUCCAUUCACCAUUGUAGACCCAGGGCUUGGCUGUGUCUGAAGGAGAGGUGGUGCACAACAAACACUGGUGAAAUGAAUUAAUUUCCAACUGAAAUUCCAGUCCUGAAACAUAAUCAUCAAAGUGCAUGGAUGGCUUAUUUUAACUCCUUUUUUUCAUAAGCCAUUCGUCUACAAUCAACUCUCCAGUGUGUAUCUUCAAUGGUGUCUUGAUAAGUAUUUAUUAAACUACAUUUAACUUUCAAUUUACAUGAUAUUUUAAAUUUAUUUUGAAAGCGGUUAUCUAGGAUUUACUCAUUUAUUUGGAUAAUAUGCACUCUUACUGCCAUUCUGAAAGAAAAUUUGCAUAGAUAAAACGGUGUUAAAAUAGCACAAACCCGUGAAACAAAAGCAUUUAAAUAUUAUUUUCCAUCCUUAGAUAUAAUCUAGUAAAGUAUCAGUUAAAUUGGUGUCCUUUUGUGAAUUUAUGAUUUUAUCACUCUUAAUGCCUUUAAACCUGUUUUUAUUAAAGUAAGCAGUUCAACCGAGUCAUUAGGAGGGAUUAUAUGCAAAUGUAGUUAUGUAGUGUUGUGUAAUGUUACUUGAUGUUUAGGAUGAAAUCAAUACUCUUAAUUUAAGAAAUUAAAAAAGAAUGAACAGUCAAUUGUACAAUAGAAACAAUAUAAAAUAUGUUGUAUUUAAAGUAAAAUAAAUUUUUUAAUUCAGGAAGUUGUGAUCAAAUACUUGCUACAAGCAUUUCAUAUUAGUUCAUAAGGAGUUACAGCUAAGUGACACAUCAAUAGAAAAACCUUUUUGAUUUGUUCAGUCUAAUCUAAGCGCUACAAAACUUCCCACAAAAAACUGCCCUGAAGUUCACUUUUAUAAGAUUAUCAAUGAAACUUACAGUAUAUUUCCAGUUCUCACAUUUUCCUUAAAAUUUGUUAGACUUAAAAAAGAAAACAGAGAGUGCUCUUAUUUAUUCAAUAAUAAGUAAGCAAACAAAUAACAGGCUAAUUUAGAUCUCUUUAGAAUUUCUUUUGUGUAAGUAGUAUUUGUAACAAAUAGUUGUCCAUUUCACAAUUUCGAGUUAUAGCAGCUUUUACUAUUCAACUUUGUGAUUUUAUAAUGGCUAAAACAUAGCAGUACUCAGUAAGAUAUAAAA
ensembl:lncRNA